GACGUUAUCUUCAUCUUUUGGGAUUACUUGGCAUGCCUACAGGUUGGUAUACUAACUUUACUGAUUGCCAAUUUAAUUCCUGAAAUGACUUUUACUGAUGUCUAAAACUGAUGCCACCCUGAAAAUCUGACAUAGCUAAAUGAGGUAGAAGCUUAGCAGAGUAGGAUAACCCUCCCCAUGUGUCAGAAGGUUAAUGUACUUGUGAGCAUGGGAAAUUAAUGGUGCACCCUAUCUAUUAAAAAUGCUUCAGUUACUAAACUUUGAUGAGUAAGAUCUAGAGGUGGCAUGAAAUUAAGAACAAGGUCAUGCUUCAUUUUUGGGAUAUCUUAGGACUAAAAACCACCUGAGCUCAAUUUUGCCACCAUUACCUUAAUUGGGUUCUCUCUUAUUUGUGUACGUUACAUGUUGGAUUUAGGCUAAAAGAAUCCUUACUUCUGAAAUUUUGGUCACCGAGUAAACAUGUACUAACUCGAUUAGCUUGAGGAAUUUUAUUAACUGUAGCAAUUUUUCUGCAGAUCAUUGUCACGCUCUCGUGACUGUUAGAAUUCUAUUCAGCAUCUUCACAGCAACUUCUUAUAUCUUCAAAGCUUCUCAUAACAUGUCUUUGUAACAGGCUUCCACGCACGUAUCAGAAGAAACAGACGAUCACUAGUGCAGAAAUAGAGAGAUUGUUAUAAAUUGUCUGGUUCAAGAAAAUUCCAGGAGUGUGUCCUGAUUUUGCUUUUGACUACACGAUGAAGCAUCUACCUCAGACAUUCGUUCUUAUGGAUGCUAUCACCGUAUUGUUUUGCUCUGAACACAAAGUUUUGUAUGACCAAAAUUUAAGCUUAGAGAAGUGAUGAAAUUGAAUAGUAAUUAAUUGAACAAGCCUUUAAAGUCUUGGCAUAAUCUAAAUUGUUAGAAUUUUCACAUGAUAAGAAGGGCUUUAUGAGAAGUUUGCCAAGAAAGUUGGAAAACAAAGACAAUGACAUUGGAAAAUUAC
rnacentral:lncRNA from 1 species